rnacentral:rRNA from 1 species
CCUACGGGUGGCUGCAGUGAGGAAUAUUGGUCAAUGGACGAGAGUCUGAACCAGCCAAGUAGCGUGAAGGAUGACUGCCCUAUGGGUUGUAAACUUCUUUUAUAUGGGAAUAAAAUGAUCCACGUGUGGGAUUUUGUAUGUACCUUAUGAAUAAGGAUCGGCUAACUCCGUGCCAGCAGCCGCGGUAAUACGGAGGAUCCGAGCGUUAUCCGGAUUUAUUGGGUUUAAAGGGAGCGUAGGUGGAUUGUUAAGUCAGUUGUGAAAGUUUGCGGCUCAACCGUAAAAUUGCAGUUGAAACUGGCAGUCUUGAGUACAGUAGAGGUGGGCGGAAUUCGUGGUGUAGCGGUGAAAUGCUUAGAUAUCACGAAGAACUCCGAUUGCGAAGGCAGUUCACUGGACUGCAACUGACACUGAGGCUCGAAAGUGUGGGUAUCAAACAGGAUUAGAUACCCUUGUAGUC